UACAGAGGGCCCAAGCGUUGUUCGGAUUCAUUGGGCGUAAAGGGUGCGUAGGCGGCGCGGUAAGUCGGGUGUGAAAUCUCGGGGCUUAACUCCGAGACUGCAUUCGAUACUGCCGUGCUUGAGGACUGGAGAGGAGACUGGAAUUUACGGUGUAGCGGUGAAAUGCGUAGAUAUCGUAAGGAAGACCAGUGGCGAAGGCGGGUCUCUGGACAGUUCCUGACGCUGAGGCACGAAGGCCAGGGGAGCAAACGGG
rnacentral:rRNA from 1 species